AAGAUUCGAAAUUAAUUGCGUAUGUGCGGAAACGUGAAAACGCAAUAUGGCGAAUAAUUUUUCUCUCGUGUCUAUACCGCUAUAUAAAUCAUGGCAAACUGUUCGAAAGUAAUUCGCCAAUAAGAAUAACAGCUCGGAAUGGUGAAUAUCGAAAACACGCCAUCGGCGAGCAUCCCGCAAUUUGCAUUUCUGAUACGACCGCGAUAUACCACGCGAUGUAACCGGUAAAAAGAGAGAUGAGAAAUUGGAAACGGUUACACUCCUGACGUCCCUUCCUGCCCCUGUGUAAUAUUUUACAAUGCCUCGCCGGGGACAAGGUGUUCGAAGUCUGUGCACGUUCGUGGUAGAGAAGAGAAAAAGAAAAAAGAAUAGUUUGGUUUUAAACGAGAACAGUGCCUUCUUUCGAUCGUGUAGUUUUAGUUUACUUUUAUUUGUGGUGAAGUGUAUGUAUUUCUAAAAAUGAUUUUCAUUUAUCUGUUGAAACACCAGCCAUGUGGAAAAUGGAUAUCAGAGCAGAGUGUGGAUCGGACGAGAGAUCGUGUCACGAGGGGGUUCGGUGAAUUCGAGGACUGGAAUCGAGUCCGCCACAACUCGGUAACAAGUUUUACACACGUGUUCUAACUUCCAGAGCUUCGACCCUGGAAAGAUACGUUAUGAAUGUAUUAAUAACACCCUGUAUAUAUUAUGGCAACCGUGUGAGGCCAUGUGUAUCCGAUUUCGCGAGAACCGUGCUCGCUUCACGUUUCACGGAAUACGGAAUAUCAAAGGGGGAAUAGAGAUGUUCACUGUCCGGACGGUAAUAAUGCAUAACGCUUCACGCGUUGGAUUAAUCUUGGAGAAAUAACAUAUUCAUAUUUCUCGAUUUUUCUCGAUAGUGGAUUAUGAACGACGAGGGAUGGAAGAAAAAAUCGAUCGAUCAGCGAAAUAUGUCGUACAAGCAACGUUAGAUUGUGUUAAACUUCUCGUUAAUUAUUCGAUAUUUGCGACGUUGAUGGUAUUAUAAAGUUGGGCUCGGCACGAAGAUUGUGUGUGUAAAAGGAAAAAAAAUUGAAAGGUUGGUGGACAAUAAAGGGAUGUUAGUUUUGGAGGGACUAAUGUACCGAUGAUUGACCGAUCAGAAAACGUGGCACAAUUUGUCAAAUAAAUACAAUGUUUGCACCGCGUAUCGUUUCACCAUGAAAAUUGAUGAUGUGUAACAAGAGACCCACGAUUGUUUAAUAUUCAUCUCGUCGAGAAAAUUGAUCGGCCUCUUCCCGAUGAUCGGUUUACUUUCCGCUCAUACAGUUCCAACGAUUACCAAAAAUUCUUAUAUUAAACUGUUAUUUUCAAUUCUACGUUUAUUAGCAGAAAAUUUCUGCUAAUAAAUUUUCGAUUCUCCUUUUAUAAAAACUUCUUAUAAAUUAUGAUAGGAUGUGAAACAUUCAUUUCUUUUAAUAAUGAUUCAAAAAUCAGAAUCUUGUAGUCAAAAGGGGAAAGAAGUAAAAAAAAGUUAUUAUCAACUGCCAGUCGCGAUGAAAAUAAUUCAUCGGGAAAAGAUAAAAAGGAACGAUGUCGAGGGGGGAGGGGAAUGUUUCGUUUGAAAUCAGGACGCGCCUCAUAAAUUGAUACCGACGAAAAUUUGAGAGAAAUAUUAAAAUUUCAUUGUAUCCUUCGUUGAAGUUUGCGCCUCCAGUCUCGUCGCACUUUUAUUUCCUUUCAGAUUCCCUCUAAUAUUUUAUAGAGUAUCCUCCUCCUUGCAUUUUUCGAAAUAAAUAUCCACCCGCCAAGCAACGAUAUUAAAUUCGCAUACUAGCCCGUUUUUAUUUAACUAGACAGUCAAGUCCCCUGAUUCCAAUGGUGAAUAUUUCGCUAACAAAAUUACCUCUCCUUUCGAAUCUUACCUAUAAAAAUCCGAAUGCGAAUGUUCGAGCAUUUCGAACCUUUUUCCCUUCUAUCUUUUUCAACGAUAUAUUUUUAAUAUCAAAUGAUAACAUUAAUUGUUACACACUUGCGGAUCAAAACGAGAAUUUAAUAAUUUUUGGAGAAACAUAUCUCUUGGAAACGUUAUCGAUUGUUAAUUUUUCAUCAGAAAAAAUAUUUUAAAAAUU